rnacentral:rRNA from 1 species
UACGGAGGGUGCAAGCGUUAUCCGGAAUCACUGGGUUUAAAGGGUGCGUAGGCGGCGUUAUAAGUCAGAGGUGAAAGCCCACCGCUUAACGGUGGAACUGCCUUUGAUACUGUAACACUUGAAUCAGGCUGAGGUUAGCGGAAUGUGUCAUGUAGCGGUGAAAUGCAUAGAUAUGACAUAGAACACCAAUUGCGAAGGCAGCUGACUAGACCUGUAUUGACGCUGAGGCACGAAAGCGUGGGGAGCGAACAGG